CCAGGUUACUAGGCCCUUAUUAGAAGUCCAGUCUAUCAGUUAGUUGAUUAGAUCAAAAAAUUAAUAAAUUCAUAUUUUCUAUGUGACAGAUAAAUACAUAGAGUUUGAUUUAAAAUAAUCUUACACGAAGUGAAUAAAUAGGAUUUAGGAUUAAAAUCUUAAAUAUGUCAAUAAAUAAAUUAAUAGAUUAUAAGAAAUUAAUAUAAACGGGUUAUUCAUGUCUGUUUACAAAUAAUAUUUUGUUUAUUUAAAGUGUGGUGAAUGUGCCUUUCUGAAAGUGUGAAAGAUUCGGGUGACAUUGGGAGUUCACGUGAUGUAACGUAGCGUUACCAAGGAGACGCCGUCAAGGUGUGCGUGCUGUCGUGUUUUUCUCUCUCUCUGCCGGACCAACGUCAAGGUGGCGUCAUGCUAACCUGUUGCUGCAGAUAUCACUGUUUUGUGUAAGAGAGCCAAAUAUUCCAACGUCUUCCCAACGUUAAUUUUAUCGUCGGUGCAGAGAGCGAAGCUUUUCUUCUUGAUUAGCGGACCGUGUGUUUUGUGACAGACGAAGGAGAACGUGAGUUGUGUUUAUUAGCAGCAUGGCGCUAGCCCGUGCUAUUAGCCACAUUUACUCCGCUAAAUUCUGUUUUGAGGUUAUACGUUACUGAACUCCCGUGUCCCUGUCUCUUCAAAAAGUGAAACCUGGACUGAUGAGAGCUGUGUUCUGCCUUGUACCCGGAGUGUGUGUAUAUGUGAUGCUUGAGCCUCUGGCCGGGUCUUAUUUUCUUUGGUUGGAUUCCUGGGUUGAGAUCUGCAUGAAGAUGACUUCUUCUUCUUCCGCUGGGAUUUCCCCCAUUCUUUAGAGGUAGAGGGGAACCUCAGUGGUAGUGGCGAGCCGCCCAAACAGAGACUGUGAUUAUUCAGUGAUUGAGUUUAUUGAGAACUGUGUUGAUAUCUCAUGUUAUGUGGACAAUUUAAAUUUGUUUUUUCUUAUUCUCAAUUUUAUUUCUUUACUCAACACAAUGUAACAUACUUAAAACUUACCUGUUGGUUGUGUGAAUCCUUUACUCUCACUCAAUGCAAUAUUGCUAAUACCCCUUUCUCCUGUAGCGAUCUAGACUUCUGAUUUUCUGGUCCACAAGGUAAUUAAUGCACUAAUAAAUAAACAUACCUGUA